rnacentral:rRNA from 1 species
UACGGAGGUGGCAAGCGUUGCUCGGAAUCACUGGGCGUAAAGGGUGCGUAGGCGGCGGAGUAAGUUGGGUGUGAAAUCCCGGGGCUCAACCUCGGAAUUGCAUUCAAUACUGCUUCGCUAGAGUACUGGAGAGGAGGCUGGAAUUUACGGUGUAGCAGUGAAAUGCGUAGAUAUCGUAAGGAAGGCCGGUGGCGAAAGCGAGCCUCUGGACAGUUACUGACGCUGAUGCACGAAGGCCAGGGGAGCAAACGGG